rnacentral:rRNA from 1 species
AGGGCACAGGGCGGAUGCCUUGGCACUAAGAGCCGAUGAAAGACGUGAUAAGCUGCGAUAAGCUUCGGGGAGGAGCAAAUAUCCAUUGAUCCGGAGAUGUCUGAAUGGGGAAACCCACAUGAGCAAACCUCAUGUAUCCUACAGCCAAUACAUAACUGUAGGAAGGGAACCCGGGGAACUGAAACAUCUAAGUACCCGGAGGAAAAGAAAGAAAACUCGAUUCCGUAAGUAGCGGCGAGCGAACGCGGAGGAGCCUAAACCGGAAUGCGUGCAUUCCGGGGUUACGGACUGCAUUUAAGAUUCUUUGAAGCUAACAGAACGGUUUUGGGAAAGCCGGCCGGAGAGGGUGAAAGCCCCGUACGUGAAAGCUGAUGAGACUGAGCAGGAUCCAGAGUACCACGAGACACGUGGAACCUUGUGGGAAAUCAGGGGGACCACCCCCUAAGGCUAAAUACUACUUAGUGACCGAUAGCGCAUAGUACUGUGAAGGAAAGGUGAAAAGGACCCCGGGAGGGGAGUGAAAGAGAACCUGAAACCCUGUGUCUACAAGCUGUGGAAGCACUUUAUAUGUGCGACCGCGUACUUUUUGUAGAACGGUCCGGCGAGUUACGCUUACUGGCAAGGUUAAGCACUUCAGGUGUGGAGCCGUAGGGAAACCAAGUCUUAAGAGGGCCUUAAGUCAGUAGGAGUAGACCCGAAACCGGGUGAUCUAUCCAUGUCCAGGUUGAAGCUGCCGUAAGAGGUAGUGGAGGACCGAACCCACAUCCGUUGAAAAGGGUGGGGAUGAGGUGUGGAUAGGGGAGAAAUUCCAAUCGAACCCGGAGAUAGCUGGUUCUCCUCGAAAUAGCUUUAGGGCUAGCCUCGAUACAGAUUUGCGGAGGUAGAGCACUGAAUUUCCUAGGGGGCGUCAAAGCCUACCGAAGAAUAUCAAACUCCGAAUGCCGCGUAAUCGAUUAUCGGGAGUCAGACUGCACGAGAUAAGUUGGGCGGUCAAAAGGGAAAGAGCCCAGACCUUCAGUUAAGGUCCCCAAGUGCGCGUUAAGUGGAAAAGGAUGUGGGAUUUCGAAGACAACCAGGAUGUUGGCUCAGAAGCAGCCAUCCAUUCAAAGAGUGCGUAAUAGCUCACUGGUCGAGAGGUCCUGCGCCGAAAAUGUCCGGGGCUGAAACGCGCCACCGAAACUAAGGAACCGAAAGGUUGGUAGAGGAGCAUUGCAUGCGGGAAGAAGCAGUACCGUAAGGAGCUGUGGACUGCAUGGAAGAGAGAAUGCCGGAAUGAGUAGCGAGAAUAAGGUGAGAAUCCUUAUGGCCGAAUAUCCAAGGUUUCCAGAGUAAAGCUGAUCUGCUCUGGGUAAGUCGGGGCCUAAGGCGAGGACGAGAGUCGUAGCCGAUGGACAACAGGUGGAGAUUCCUGUACUGCGGUAUGACAGAACUGUGGGGACACGUAAGGAAAGCGGAAGCCGGGAAUGGAAAGCCCGGUGCAAGCGGGGUACCAGUCACUUUGGCAAAUCCGGGUGGCAAUGGGAAGCCGUGAUGCGGAGCGAAAUAAAGUAGCGAAGUCCGUGAGCCAUGCGUCAAGAAAAGCCGCUAUUGUUUAUACCGUACCCGUACCGUAAACCGACACAGGUGGAUGAGGAGAGAAUCCUAAGGCCGGCGGAAGAAGCAUUGUCAAGGAACUCGGCAAAAUGGCCCCGUAACUUAGGGAUAAGGGGUGCCUGGGAAACCAGGCCGCAGAGAAUAGGCUCAAGCAACUGUUUAGCAAAAACACAGGUCUAUGCGAAACCGAAAGGUGAGGUAUAUGGGCUGACGCCUGCCCGGUGCUGGAAGGUUAAGAGGAGAGGUUAGCGGUAACGCGAAGCUUUGAAUUUAAGCCCCAGUAAACGGCGGCCGUAACUAUAACGGUCCUAAGGUAGCGAAAUUCCUUGUCGGGUAAGUUCCGACCCGCACGAAAGGCGUAAUGAUUUGAGCGCUGUCUCGACAAUGCAUCCGGUGAAAUUGAAGUACCAGUGAAGAUGCUGGUUACCUGCGCCAGGACGGAAAGACCCCAUGGAGCUUUACUCCAGUCUGGUACUGGGACUCGGUAUUGCAUGUACAGGAUAGGUGGGAGGCUAGGAGAUGGUAACGCCAGUUGCCAUGGAGCCGCUGUUGGGAUACCACCCUUGCAGUAUUGGGUUUCUAACCAGCCGCCGUGACCCGGCGGUGGGACAAUGCCAGACGGGGAGUUUGACUGGGGCGGUCGCCUCCGAAAGGGUAUCGGAGGCGCCCAAAGGUUCCCUCAGAAUGGACGGAAACCAUUCGAAGAGUGCAAAGGCAGAAGGGAGCUUGACUGCGACACCGACGGGUGGAGCAGGUACGAAAGUAGGGCUUAGUGAUCCGGUGGUAUUAAGUGGGAAUGCCAUCGCUCAACGGAUAAAAGCUACCCUGG